GGCUCAGAACGAACGCUGGCGGCAAGCUUAACACAUGCAAGUCGAACGGAUUAUCUUUUAUAGCUUGCUAUAAAAGAUAAUUAGUGGCAGACGGGUGAGUAAUGCAUAGGAAUCUACCUAGUAGUAUGGGAUAGCCACUAGAAAUGGUGGGUAAUACUGUAUAAUCCCUGCGGGGGAAAGAUUUAUCGCUAUUAGAUGAGCCUAUGUUAGAUUAGCUAGUUGGUAGGGUAAAGGCCUACCAAGGCGAUGAUCUAUAGCUGGUCUGAGAGGAUGAUCAGCCACACUGGAACUGAGAUACGGUCCAGACUCCUACGGGAGGCAGCAGUGGGGAAUAUUGGACAAUGGGCGCAAGCCUGAUCCAGCUAUGCCGCGUGAGUGAGGAAGGCCUUAGGGUUGUAAAACUCUUUCAGUAGGGAAGAUAAUGACGGUACCUACAGAAGAAGUCCCGGCAAACUCCGUGCCAGCAGCCGCGGUAAUACGGAGGGGGCAAGCGUUGUUCGGAAUUAUUGGGCGUAAAGGGCAUGUAGGCGGUUCGGUAAGUUAAAGGUGAAAUGCCAGGGCUUAACCCUGGAGCUGCUUUUAAUACUGCCAGACUAGAGUCCGGGAGAGGAUAGCGGAAU
rnacentral:rRNA from 1 species